AACCAGUAUUAGAGGCACUGCCUGCCCGGUGACAACAGUUAAACGGCCGCGGUAUCCUGACCGUGCAAAGGUAGCAUAAUCACUUGUUCUCUAAUUAAGGACUUGUAUGAAUGGCCACACGAGGGUUUUACUGUCUCUUACUUUUAAUCAGUGAAAUUGACCUCCCCGUGAAGAGGCGGGGAUAAUAAAAUAAGACGAGAAGACCCUAUGGAGCUUCAAUUAAUCAACCCAAAAAUCAUAACCUCAAACCACCAAGGGAUAACAAAAUUUUAUAUGGGCUGACAAUUUCGGUUGGGGUGACCUCGGAGCACAAAAAACCCUCCGAGUGAUUAAAGCCUAGGCCCACUAGCCAAAGCAUAAUAUCACUUAUUGAUCCAAUCUUUUGAUCAACGGAACAAGUUACCCUAGGGAUAACAGCGCAAUCCUAUUCUAGAGUCCAUAUCGACAAUAGGGUUUACGACCUCGAUGUUGGAUCAGGACAUCCUAAUGGUGCAGCCGCUAUUAAGGGUUCGUUUGUU
rnacentral:rRNA from 1 species